rnacentral:rRNA from 1 species
UACGUAGGCAGCAAGCGUUGUUCGAAAUUACUGGGCGUAAAGAGUGUGUAGGCGGCGCUCUAAGUUCGGUGUGAAAUCUCCCGGCUUAACUGGGAGGGUGCGCCGGAAACUGGAGUGCUCGAGCGUGGGAGAGGAAAGCGGAAUUCCUGGUGUAGCGGUGAAAUGCGUAGAUAUCAGGAGGAACACCUGCGGUGUAGACGGCUUUCUGGACCAUUGCUGACGCUGAGACGCGAAAGCGUGGGUAGCAAACAGG